AACUCUCAAACAAGAUAGAUUUGUUUCUAUCUCUGUUUGGAUUUGGAUUCUGCUGUGUGUUAAUGCAGCUGGUCUUAAAAGUAUUAGCUGGUCCUAGUCGGGGUUUGGUUCUACUCAGCAUGAUAAUUAUCUGAUGUUGAGGACAGUCUCAGGACUGGCCAGGCUCUCUCUCUGGGAUUGCUUCUAGUCGUCUUUGGACAAUUUGUUUAAU
rnacentral:misc_RNA from 1 species